GACGAACGCUGGCGGCGUGCUUAACACAUGCAAGUCGAACGGAAAGGCCCUGCUUUUGUGGGGUGCUCGAGUGGCGAACGGGUGAGUAACACGUGAGUAACCUGCCCUUGACUUUGGGAUAACUUCAGGAAACUGGGGCUAAUACCGGAUAGGAGCUCCUGCUGCAUGGUGGGGGUUGGAAAGUUUCGGCGGUUGGGGAUGGACUCGCGGCUUAUCAGCUUGUUGGUGGGGUAGUGGCUUACCAAGGCUUUGACGGGUAGCCGGCCUGAGAGGGUGACCGGCCACAUUGGGACUGAGAUACGGCCCAGACUCCUACGGGAGGCAGCAGUGGGGAAUAUUGCACAAUGGGCGGAAGCCUGAUGCAGCAACGCCGCGUGCGGGAUGGCGGCCUUCGGGUUGUAAACCGCUUUCGCCUGUGACGAAGCGUGAGUGACGGUAAUGGGUAAAGAAGCACCGGCUAACUACGUGCCAGCAGCCGCGGUGAUACGUAGGGUGCGAGCGUUGUCCGGAUUUAUUGGGCGUAAAGGGCUCGUAGGUGGUUGAUCGCGUCGGAAGUGUAAUCUUGGGGCUUAACCCUGAGCGUGCUUUCGAUACGGGUUGACUUGAGGAAGGUAGGGGAGAAUGGAAUUCCUGGUGGAGCGGUGGAAUGCGCAGAUAUCAGGAGGAACACCAGUGGCGAAGGCGGUUCUCUGGGCCUUUCCUGACGCUGAGGAGCGAAAGCGUGGGGAGCGAACAGGCUUAGAUACCCUGGUAGUCCACGCUGUAAACGGUGGGUACUAGGUGUGGGGUCCAUUCCACGGGUUCCGUGCCGUAGCUAACGCUUUAAGUACCCCGCCUGGGGAGUACGGCCGCAAGGCUAAAACUCAAAGGAAUUGACGGGGCCCCGCACAAGCGGCGGAGCAUGCGGAUUAAUUCGAUGCAACGCGUAGAACCUUACCUGGGUUUGACAUGGAUCGGGAGUGCUCAGAGAUGGGUGUGCCUCUUUUGGGGUCGGUUCACAGGUGGUGCAUGGCUGCCGUCAGCUCGUGUCGUGAGAUGUUGGGUUAAGUCCCGCAACGAGCGCAACCCUUGUUCACUGUUGCCAGCACGUUAUGGUGGGGACUCAGUGGAGACCGCCGGGGUCAACUCGGAGGAAGGUGGGGAUGACGUCAAGUCAUCAUGCCCCUUAUGUCCAGGGCUUCACGCAUGCUACAAUGGCUGGUACAGAGAGUGGCGAGCCUGUGAGGGUGAGCGAAUCUCGGAAAGCCGGUCUCAGUUCGGAUUGGGGUCUGCAACUCGACCUCAUGAAGUCGGAGUCGCUAGUAAUCGCAGAUCAGCAACGCUGCGGUGAAUACGUUCCCGGG
rnacentral:rRNA from 1 species